rnacentral:rRNA from 1 species
GAUGAACGCUGGCGGCGUGCCUAAUACAUGCAGGUCGAACGAAGAUCUAGCUUGCUAGAUCUUAGUGGCGAACGGGUGAGUAAUACAUAAAUAAUCUGCCCAUAUGACUGGGAUAACUAUUGGAAACGAUAGCUAAUACCGGAUAGGUUGAUCGGAGGCAUCUCUGAUGAAUUAAAGUAGGAUUUCUACACAAAUGGAUGAGUUUAUGGCGCAUUAGUUAGUUGGUGGGGUAACGGCCUACCAAGACGAUGAUGCGUAGCCGACCUGAGAGGGUGACCGGCCACACUGGGACUGAGACACGGCCCAGACUCCUACGGGAGGCAGCAGUAGGGAAUUUUCGGCAAUGGGCGCAAGCCUGACCGAGCAACGCCGCGUGAGUGAUUAAGGCCUUCGGGUUGUAAAGCUCUGUUGUAAGGGAAGAACAUUCAGGAUAGGAAAUGAUCUUGAACUGACGGUACCUUACCAGAAAGCCACGGCUAACUACGUGCCAGCAGCCGCGGUAA